CAUGGGCUCACUGAUGGUGGUUAAUAUUAACAACCCGUAUUUCCAUAGAGGUUUGCGAUUAUCUCCUCAUCCCACCUCGAAUUCCGCCUGCAGAGCUGAGACGAUGGCCAUGAAUGCUGCCACAAUCCCACCUCACGUGUGCACCUCGUAGUCACUACUUUUCCUCCAGACAUUUUCUCAAGCCAGAAGAAUGAGCACAGCCCACAUCUGAAGCAGCCUGAGAGGCUGGGCCUGCAGGGGAGAUACCGGCCCUAUGGAAGGCAGUUGGUGGGCAAAAGUCCGGUUUCUACGCUUUGAGGGGACACCUGUGGGGCACCCUGAGGCCCAGCCCUGCUGGGUGAGUAUGGCCUGGCUGUGUGUCUUCACAGCUCCUAUCACGACUUCAAAUUAUCUUCCACAUUUGUCUCCAGGUGACUAAUUACUGAGGUGAGGCCUGCAGUAGUCAGAAGAAUUUCCUCCUAAUUUUGUUAUGAAUGUGUGUGCGUAUUAUAUAGCAAAUAUCUUUGUUUUCUUCCCUCUCUUAUCCUGUUAUGUAACAUAAGAUGUAUUUAGGUUAUAAGAUUGUAUUCAAGAAUUGUGAAUUUUACAUCAUAGAAUCUAAGUUGAAAAUAUCAGAAGAAGAGUAAACCUCACUCAAGGCCUUUAUUUCCUUUUCUGGGGAAGAGAUUGUGUGUUUUCAGUUGUAUGUGGGAUUAGCUGUAUCACGUUAGGUGGAAUGGUGACCUUGGUAUCUUCUUUAUUUGAGGAUAAAGUGUGGUUUUAAGGAAACCCAUCAGUGCCAAGGUGACAACGGGUGACGUGAUGGUGAAUUUUACGUGUCAACUUGAUGAGGACACAGGGUGUCCAGAUAUUUGGUCAGACAUUCUGGGUGUGUCUGGGGGGUGUUUCUGGUUGAGAUUAAUAUUUUAAUUGUCAGACUGAGUAAAGCAGACUGCCCUCCCUAAUGGGGGUGGGCCUCAUCCACCCACGAGAAACCUGGAAUAGAAUGAAAGGGCCGUCCCUCCUCUGAGAAACGGGGGACUCUGCUGGCUGAUGGCCCCCACCUGGAAUGCUGGCUCUUCCUGCCCAGCUGCCUUCAAGCUGGGACAUUAGCUUUCUGCUGCCUUCAGACUCUAACUGGAACAUCUCUUCCUGGGUCUCCAGCCUGCUGGCCUUUGGACUGGAGCUACACCAUCAGCUCUCGGAGGUCUCCACUCGCCAACUCACCCUGCAGAUCACGGAACUUGUCAGCCUCCAUAACUGCAGGAGCCAAUGCCUUAUAAUAAAAUCUCUUUCUCUUGUCUUUUCUCUUUCUCUCUC